rnacentral:misc_RNA from 1 species
UCAUUUGAAAUAAAUCAUUUAUAAAAAAAAAAUUUAAUUGAAUUCUCAUUCAAUCAUACAGCGGCUUUAAUUGAAUUCUCAUACAGCGGCUGAUUUUUCCUACAAGAAUACGGUAACAAAAUAAUAUCAGAAUCCAAACAUCAAGCCUAUUUGAUUUAAUUAUUUUAAAAUUUUUUAAUUGAAUUUAAUUUUUAAUAUUUUUAAAUUAACAUAUUUGAGAACCGCUGCUUAAAUUGCUCACCUGCUGGUGUAUUUUUUCCUUGCGCGAUGAUGUGAGAGAGUGAUCGAGAAGCCGCCUUCUUUCACCGUAAAGAAUAAGUCCGCUAAGCCUCGGCUAGUCACAUUUCUCCCCCAUAAGUAUUGGUCUCUGCCGCACUGGUGACGCCGAGUUAUUGUUUUGCCACCCAACACGAGACUCGCAAUCUUCUGACCCAAGAAGUGGCUAUGCCGGUAGCAAUGAUCUCUCUCCCAAGCUCCCAACGCUCGUCUCUUCCGACUUGUUUGCUUCGCUCCACCUCAGCGACUCAAUCAACAUCCUCCUUAUUCUGACUGAGUUACUAGAAUUGGGCUGAUGAUGAGUGGACCAUGUAGAGGAGGGAUCAGAAAAGCUGCUGGGUCUCGGUUAUCCAUUUGCUUUCUGUGGGCUUUCCUUUUAAGCAUGGUUGCAGUGCAUAUCCCGAUGAGAACAAAGGCAGCGCAUGCAAAUAGGAGUGCUUUUUGGGUUGAGGUCCCAUGUGUCGUCUAAAUUCCACGGUGCUUCCAUGGCUGUAAGUUUCUAUGUUCAGUGUGGGAAAUUGAAUCUGCUAUACGGGUAUUGCAUGGAUUCCCGUGGGAGCCACCACCGGCUGGCUAGAGUUGAGGUUUAAGAGGGUAGCCAUGUGGGAAUCAGUUUUAUGAUGCCAUUGUGAGGAUCUCAACGAUUGAAGGCAAUAAAGAAAUCUCACGAGGGAUAAUAAGUUGCCAUAAAAUGUCUGAACAAUGAUAAAUCGCACGUUCAACAUUACACCACACUAACGAAAGUGUGGUGUGUCGCAUAUAUAUUUACAUUUAAGCAACG